GUCUCCGGCCAUAUCAGCCUGAAGGCGCCAGAUCUGUGAUCGUGGAAGCUAAGCAGUGUCGGGCCUGGUUAGUAUUUGGAUGGGAGACCACCUGGGAAUACCGGGUGCUGGAGGCU
ensembl:rRNA 5S_rRNA 5S ribosomal RNA